GUGGGGUUGUAGGGGCGCAAGGAGGCGGGAGGGUGGAGGCGAGGGCCGGGGGUGGGGCGCCUCCGCCCGCCAGCCGCUCCCGCAUUAAAAUUUCAUGGGCGCUGCAGCAGCUACAAAGACGACGCCGGCUGCGCUCGGGGGACCAGAGGGAGGGAGGCUGCGGACGAGUGCUGGGAGGAGUUUGAGAUGGGAGGCGCUUGCAGGGGCUCCCCCAGUUCUGCGCUGUGAGCCGGGGCACAAAGAGCGCUCUGCACUCGCGCCGCAGGACCGCGGACCCGAGUUGGAGGCAUCUGUCCACCCAUGUGGUUCCAGACACGUUCAUGUGGCCACCACGACCCUGUUUGCAUCACAGGAGUAACCAAGAGAGCAGCAAGUUCCUGGCACAGAGGAGACAGAAGGGAAUUUCCCAGUUCUUCAGGACGUUCACAACCACACUGAGAAGCAUCCUUGCAGAUAAGUAUUUAAACUUACCAGGCCAUAGCCUACCAGCCUGCCCUCUUCUGGUCUGUGCAGGGAAGUGUAGUAUCCUAGAAUCCCAAAGUGGGAGGGGAAAUGGGUGAUGUAGCUCAUUCUCUUUUCUACGUCUAUGGAAGAAAGAAAGAGCUUGUCCCCAUUUUGUGGGGUCCCAGAAAGGGUGAUUUUCACACUCCACAUUUGGCAUUAGGGCUAGUAUUUUACAAACGUCACCGUCUGGAACUUUUGAAGGCUGAGUUAAAUGACUUCACACCUUGUGUACUUGUAGAACUGCUAUUAGGAGGAAGCUGGGGACUCCCUGGUAAUGUGAACUGGCCCUUUUCAAUUUUGGUGUUUUGUGAUCAUAUUUAUAAACCUUGGCUAGAGCUCCUUGGCCUUGCAGUUAAGUGAAGAGUUAGCAGUGUGACUUUAGAUGCAUUUUUCUCAGUGCAAGUGUCUGAGUUCACCUCCAGUUCUGAACUCGUGCCCCCACUCCCAGGUGCUGACCGAAAGCUUUGAAGAUAUGCUGAGAUGGCUCCCUGACAAUCCUGAUUCAGGUCUGUCAGUUGAUGAAGACAGUGUAGUUGUCACCAAAGGCAAAACCUGGCAGAUGGUCCUAGGUCAGGAUUAGUGGUCAUUCUCUGGUCUUCUCCAGACUGGUGACACAGGGUGGUCUUAAAAGAGUCCUACUCCAGCCUCUGGCUCCCCAAAUUUCCUCUGGUGCAUGGGGCAUCAGGAAAGGGCAGGGGAGAAGGAGGGGGAGCAGAAAAAUUACUGUUGGGCAGCAAGGUCCCUUCUAUUUCCCCAUCCAUUGCUUCAAACAAUGGGUGAUUAUUGUGCACCUUGAGUGAAUGUCAAGGCAGGAAGAGUCCCAGAGCCACCCAGUGUGGCAGGAGCAGAGCUGGGAUCAGAAUUCUGGAUUCUUGACUCUCCGUUCAGCUGCAAUUCAGCUGUCACCAAGCUGCUGAGUUUGUCCUCCUUUCUCCCGGGUCGCAUUCUGCUGUUGUCGGGAAACAGGGAGUGAGUGAAGGGAACCCGGGAACCCCUCUCCCCUCACCUUUUAAGGAUGUUCUGGGGUGGAAUAAAGGGAGGUGGAGGGUGGGGUGCCUGGAUCCAGCCUCACUGGCUCCUGGUCCUUCUUUCUUCGGCAGGGAGUUUUGGCAAGGCCUGGGCCUGGGGAGGGGGCCUGGGUGCGGUUUUCUCCUGCGGUGUGGUUGGCUCUUUUGUCUUCCAGGAUGGGCCUGUGGGGUCUGUGUGGGGAAGGAAGGAGCUGGGAGCCUGGACUGCCUAUGUGUCUGCUGGAUGCUGCCAGCACCGGAAUGGACCAAGCAACUUCUCCGAGCCAGAUGCUGGAGAUGCAGAAGUGAACCCAGAGACAUGAUCCCAUCUGCUCGGAUCUUCAUGUCAGAACACGCUUUAUUACAGUCUCGGCGAGGCGGUGGCUCCAUCUGGGCCGGAUCUCCAGGACUCCUGGCCUGGCCUUCUCUUUGGACCUCGGGUGACCCUGGACUCUGGCCACAGUAACUUAGCGGGCAGACUCCGGUGGUUUUCUAGCCCCCUGGGUGACUCCCUGAAGAUCUCACCCUCCUCACCUGUUGGGAUGGAGCCUCCCAUGGAUGGGAGCUCUUCCUGGCUGAUGCUCAGUGGACGACUGGAUCUGGCUCUGGAGGAUGACUCCAGGGGUAUGAGGGAGGCCUGGCAGCCCACUACUCCCUCCUCACCUGCUCGGGCCCUGCCUGCUGGGCCCUAUUGUCUGGGUCUGGGGGCCCUUUCCUGACCCCAUGUGAACUUGAUUCCUCCUUGUGUUUCUGCCGGUGACCAGACAGUGCCUGGCCUGGGCCGAGGCCCCACUGACCACACUCUCCCCAAGGCUGGGUCUCAAAGGACCCUACAGGAUGGGGACAGGAACAUGAUGGAAGUCAGGGAGGGGCUGUCAGGGAGAGGGCAGACACAGUUCCUCCAGUGCCGCUGGCUGGAGUCCUUUGUCUCCGUUUGCUCUGUGCGUAAUUGUCAUUUUGUGGGGCUUCCUUGGUGGGGCUUUUCCAUGCUUUUCCUCUCCCUAAUGGUUACAAAGAGGAGACAGUCAGGAUCUGGGAGGAGCUGGAGCCUUCCCCCUGUGCUGUUGAACUUGGGAGGGGCAGCUAGAGGGACUGAGUGUGCACCAUCCUGAAAAGAGAAGGUCUUUAAGAGAUAAGAUCUAGGCCAGGGAAAUUCACUAGAAAGAGACAGGCGGCCCUGGGUUUUUUUCCUGCCAUCCAAAGGGAACCAGUCUUACCCAAAGGAUUGAGGGGUCACCUUAGCCCAAUCUCAGGACACUCUUCUCCAAUCAGAUCCCUGCUUCCAGCUGCACUACUCCUGGAUUGUGUUCUUGGGGAGCAGAAGGUGGCAGGACAGGCCCCACAAUCCACAAUUCCAGCUCCCUCCAGAGGGGUCAGUCCCAGUGUCUGCAAGAGAGCGGCUUGUGGCCUCCCUCAGGCAAGUUUAAAAGCCAGAUGUCCUUUUUCCCAGAAAGGGGAGUGGUGUGUACUAUUCAUUGGCUUGGGCUGCCACAGCACCGUGCCACAGACUGGAUGGCUUAAACAUCAGGAAUUUAUUUUCUCCCAGUUCUGGAGGCUGGAAAGUCCAUGUUAGAGUUGGUUUCUGGUGAGGCCUCUCUCCUUGGCUUGCAGGUGGCAGCUUCUUGCUAUGUCCUCACAUGGCCUUUUCUCUGUGGAGAGGGACAGAGAGCACGAGCAAGCUCUGGUGUCUCCUCCUCUUCUUAUAAAGACAUUAAUACCAUCAAAUUAGGGCUCAACCCUAGGGACUCAUUUAACCUUAACCCCUUAAAAGUCCCAUCUCCAAAAACAGUCACAUAGUAAGCUACUGCUUCAACACAUGCAUUUGGGGGAGGGGACUCCAUUCAGUCCUUAGCAGGGUGGUCACCGCAAACAUGGAAAGUCAGAGCCAUCUCCCCUUCAGAAUUCCCGCCCCCCACCCAGGGAUGGGGAAGAGGAGCAGAGGUAUGGGAAGCAGACACUGAGAGUGGCAGGUACCAGGCUGGGGUGGCUCGGAGUGCUUCGGAGGACAUAUGGAACUGGCUGGGCUCAGUGUGGGGAGGCGGAGCCCCUGGGAGAGCCGUGUCCUGAGAAGGGCCUGGGCUACAACCCUGGGCAAGUUACUUCACCUCUGAGCCUCCACUGCUCUGUGAAAUGGAAGGCAUGUGCCCGCCUGUCAGGUGCAGGGAGGAUUCAGUGAGGUCGUGUGCCUAGCACUGUGCCUGACUCCCAGCAGAUAUUCAGUAAAUGCUCCUAUCCAUCUGGGAGUAUAGACUUAGGGUUUAUCUUUUUUUUUUUUUUUUUUUUUUUUUGGCCCUCUGGACUUCAAAACUCAGCAUCUUCUGAUCCAGAGGCAUUUCUGAUUAGCCUUUCCCUACCUAUUUUUCUAAUAUCACUCUUUAAUCAGCUUGGGGAGGUGGCAGCAUUUCAUGGCCUCCAUAGUAACUCAGAAUGCUUCCUGGAGUAUUUGAAUUCUACUCUCUCAUCAGCACUGAGCACCUACUUUGGGCCCUUUCCCGUGCUAGCCAUUUGGGGGAAACAUAGGUGAAGAGUGCCAGGGUUCGAACCUUUAGGAUUUCACAGCCAUGCUGGAUGGGAUAAAACCAGCUCACAUGGAGAAUCAGAGACUGGGACAGUGCCAUGAAACUGUCUAUUAAGGCACAAGUUCUGAGUGCUUGGGAAGUGGGAGACAGACCCCAGAGAGGGCUGCUGCAGUCUGGAACAGCUUCCUAGCAAGCUGUACCAACCAGAGCCUUGAAGGAUGAGAAAGAUCUGACUGAGAUGAGACCUGACCCUCUAAAUUCCCAAAAUAAGUUCUAGGAAAUGUCAUCAUUGCUUUUUUUUUAAAAAAAAAAAAAAGAAAAGAAAAAGAAAGGCAGGUUCAAAUUCAAAUUCUGCUGCAAAAUUUCAGACACUCAGGGACAGGGCAUAGGAUGAAGUGUUCCUUGACUUUUAUGGCCGUAGAAUCCAUUUCUCAUGGAACAUCGUUUAGAACUGUGGGAGAUGCUAGGCCGGGGUUUCUAUGGGAAAAGUACAGCAGUGAUAGAAGAUGGCAUAAUUAGGGUACACUUAGGUGCUUUGUAGCAUGGGCUGAAAAGGAAGCCGACCGGGAGGGUGUGGGGAGUCUCAACUUGGUUCCAGGAGCCAGGCCAGCUUGAUGCAGUUUUUUUUUGUUUUGUUUUUUGUUAUUGUUUUUCUUUUUUAGAGGGGGAGGGCAGGCCAAUAGUUGGAGCAACUAGAGGCCUGACAGUCGGUGAUGGAAGAGAUGCCUACUGAGCACAGGUGUCAGAUCUUUUGCGGAGAGAUGCUGGUGUGCGUGUGUCUAUGCCAGAGUGUAACAGGAUCCAGCCCUCUGGGGAGGGGCUGACCAGAACUAGGCAGGGGGUUUCUAGCCAGGACAAGUCGGGUCUAUUUUCAAGGGAGCUGAAAUAUUUGCAGGGGGUGCUCUGAGACCCACAGCCAAUAAAUAGGGAAGCGACACGCUUUUGAGCAGGGUCCAUGUGGUUAGGGUUGAUUUUGAUGGGGCUGAGGGGCUUAGAGGUAGACCCCCUGCCCUGGUCAGGCCCCACUCCCUGGCUGGUGGGGGCGGGAGGCCUCUGGAGCUGCAGCUGGAGGGGCCGGGGCAAUGUUGCAUGGUGUGAUUAACCUACUAACCCAGGGCUCAGCCGGGACGCUGUGGCGUGUGGCGAGGUGCCUGGCCUUCUGCCAACCAACUAACCCACUAACCAGGCCCGAGCAUGCCCUACUAACCACCCCCCGCAGCCAGAUCCUACUAACCAUGCAGCUCAUGGGCCUUUCAAGGGGCUGGGAUAUGGGGGCAGCCAAGGCUCCAGAAGGCUCUGCCUAUGGGCUGGGAUCUUUGUGCAGACCCACGUUCCAGGACAGGGAAUGCAAAUAAGACUCACUAACUCUGCCACUUCCUGUUGGGUGACUUUGAGUAAGUCAUCUCACUUCUCUCAACCUCAGUUUCCUCAGUGGUAGAAUGCGAGUUCUGAUACCUCACAGGUUGCAGUGAGGAUUCCCGUGAAUAUAAGGAUCUUGGCACAUGGCAGAUACUUUUCUAAAAAAAUGUAUGAGGGUGGAGGAAGGCCCCCCAAACCUGGUUGAACACGUCUGCUGCCUAGGCCCUGGCCUCUCUGGGUGUUCUGCACACAGAUCCUUCUGCCUGGGGCAAGACACUUGCUUUGAAUCCUUGACUGUCACUUCCCCACAUUCUUCCUCCGUCUCAGCUUUCUUUUCUGUAGGCAACUCUUUUGUUCGAUUACUAACCCCUCUAACCCCGGGGUACCUCAACUGCACCCCGAUCAUCCCUUAACAAACUAACGGACCUGCGUGCGUUCUUCCUUUUCUCCUAGCGACUCCUGUGUGUGUCUGCUGAGGUGCCCUGUCCGCUGGUGCUGUGCUCUGACUUACUAACCCAGCCCCUACUAACCCUGUUUUCUCUUCUUACUAACCCCAGCCCUGCCGAGCUCUGGGCUCCCCCCGGGGGCUGGUCCCCCUCCUUUUGGCAAACAGAUGACUUGGGACUACUGGCCCUGUAUACAGAUGUCCCACUUUGCUGCCCCAUAUUGGCUGUUUGUAAGAUCAGAGUCCACUGGGCCAGGUUUAAGGCAGGGGAUGGCCCUAUUAACAAGACUCAGAGGAGGAGGAGGUGGUCCUGUGGAUGGGGGAGGCUGGACUCUGAGUAUGACAUCUCUCCUCUGUGCAGAAGUCUGGUUGCCACUGGGAGUAGGUGGGACCAGGGAAACCUCUGGGACGUGAGUGUGGAGGCCUGUGGGUCUAGACACUAGACUGUGGAGCUCUGAGCUUUUGUGUCCUUCUCUGGAAGGAAGCUGGGGAAGAAUCUUCUCCAUUGUUAAGUGACAGGGAUAGAAGCUGUCCUGCACAGGAAGAGGGGGGCGUGUCCCACGAGGAAGGCAGGAGGGGUCGUGCCCGUCACCGGAAAUUAGCAGAGGGGCGUGUCCCACACCUGAAUUCAGAAAGCGGAGCCUUUCUUACACCGGAAGUCAAUGAAGCGGGUCUUUCCCACGCUAAAAACCACUGAGUGGAGUAUUUAGUACACAGGAAGUCGGUCAGAGGAACACUUCCCAUGUUUGAAAGCCGAGAAGAGGGACGUUUCUGACACCAGAAGUCAGUGAGAGGGCUCUUUCCCACACAGGAAGUCAGCUAGAGAGGCCUCUUCCAUCUCUGGAGCUGAGAGAGGAGGGUUUCCCCCACCGGAAGUAGACGUGGGGCCGUGACCGGAAGUCAUUGGGGAAGAUCCAUUCCACGCACGGAAGGUAGAGGGCGUUAGUUGUCCUGUUGAAAAGGAGGGUUGGGAAGGGGAAGCAACUUUACCCCGGGCUCGGAGUUUGCAGGAGAGAGAAGUGGGGAGCAAGAAAUGAACUUCUGGGGCUCACAGGGUUCCCGCAGCUGCUCAGGCCUGCCAGGAAUGCAUCCCUGGCUUUCUGUUCCCACCCACGUCCCUGCCUCAGCCAGCCUCCCCCAGAGCCCGCCAGCCGCUCAGCCAGGGCCACACCUGGGGGUGAUUUCAUGCCUCACCUCCAGUAGGCACCUUGGUUUCUUUGGGUUAAUCUCUGGCUCCCUUGCACUAACUCUUGCUCUCACCCAGCUAAUCCCUGCCUCACCCUGACUGCCCCAGGGGCUGACCACUAACAACCAACCUGGUGUGUCUGGGGGCUCCAGGCUCCUGGCCUGGCCCUGACCGGCUCUUAAUUAACCUUUCCUUCACCUUUACUAACUCCUGCCUUCCUGGUCUGUUCCUUUCAGCAGAAACUAAUGGCUUGUGGAUUUCUUUCUGACUAACAACAGGUCUAACAUUCCUUGUUACUGUUAAUUAACAGCUUGGAUGUCGGCAUGGCUGGAAAGGGGCUAACACCGGUUUGAACUUGACUAGCACAGGGAAAAGUGUAGAUAAUUUUAAACGUGGUGGCUGCUCUGAGUCAGAGCAAUCAGAAGUCGAUAAAGAUGGUAGUUUUCUAAGGGAGGUGCCAGGGCUCAAGUGUGGACCAGGCCUGAUGGAGCAAAUGGUACCCAUCAAGUUGGGGUCAGAAGUAUAGCCAGUCUUGCAAGGUUUUGGCCACUGGGUAUGUCUUCACUCCUCGUGAUCUGCAUUUGGUUUCAGUUCUUUAAACAAUAUAGCCUUAUAGCUCCAAUAGUUUGCACAAGUAGAUGCAGCUCUUAUAAACCUUAAAAUACCUGUCUGGUGUCUACAGAGCAUAUGCCAUUUUGUGUAGAGUCACCCGUCCCCAGGCCAGGGCCUAGAGUCUUCGUUUGGGGACGUUGUGUUUUGGAAGCUCUAGGACAUAAAGCGUUAGAUCAGAGUGUUCAGAAGGGUUAUAAUUCCAUCCGUCAUUUACAUGUUAGUAGUAUAAACUGUCUGAGCUUCCUCUUCUAACUUUUAGCUCUUCUAGCAUAAACUCUUCUGUGCAAUUUAGCUGCACCGAGGAAACGGGAGUUUUUCUGGAAGGGACUUUGAUCUCUUUAGACUUAGGGAACGUCCUUUGGGAGUAGAAGGGCAGGGAGCAUAAGCCAGGGAUUCCAGGUGCAGGUAAGAGGUGGCACUAGGUCAAGGUUUUGCUGGCUUAGUCUGGAAGUCAGGGUCUGUGGGAGAAGACAGCUCAAGGCAGGGCCUGGAGGAUUGGAUCAAUUUAGGGAUAGGUCAAAGGCUGGCUUGGAGGCCUUACAGGCAGGUUGCUUGGGUCAUUGAAUCCUAGUCCCAUGCUGAGGGCCCUUUUCUCUGGUAACUGUGGACUCAGAGCUAACCGAUUGUAGUUGGCAGUAAGGGCCGAAGGGUGAUCCAGAGGCUUGAGCUGCAGAGGGCACAAGAGAGAAAAGAUGUCUUAGGAAGAGCUCUGAGAAGAUGCCUUGGCUGCUGGCAGGGACCUUGGAUGGGGUAGAGUCUACACCCAGGAAGUGCCUGCCUGCCACCCUCUAGUGGCUGCCUUACCCCAUUUCACUCAAAGCAGGAAGCUCAGAAACCCCUCCUAUUCCUGAAACUCCUCUGUUUAACUGCAAAGAUUUGAUGCUGCUAAGGACCUACUAUGUGUCAGGCACUGCUCUGGGCGCUGGGACCUGCACCUGGGCUUUUUCAUCAUUGUGCUUUUAGAUCCUAGUGGGAGAGUUGGUGAAGUAGAUAGUGAUUCAGUGAGAUGGUGUUAUGAUGGGUCAGGGGACUUGGGAACACGCAGGAGACGGACAACAUUGAUGUGCACCUACUCUGUGCCAGUCAUGUGCCAGGCAUUGGAGAUGUAGUGGUAGUUAAACACCAUUUGGUCUUUAGGAGCUUUAAUUCUAGUGUGUUGGGUGGGUACAGGGGGGUGGAAUGGGGACAGAGAGACACCUAAUCCACCCUGGGGUGGCUUUCUGGAGAGGCCUCUAAGCUGAGCUCUGGCUGGGUGGAGUGUGGGUGGGGUUGAGUUCCAGGCAGUGAGAGUGGUGCACACCAGUUUCUGGGGAUCAGAGAGGAUCCAAAGAGGUUCUGGAAGGUUCAUGUGGAAUGUAGCAAGAGAUAGGGGAAAUGUGCAUGGUUCCGGGUCUGGUUGCCAAGGAGUUUAGAUUUUUAACCUUAGGCCUUGGGGAGCCAUGGAUAUGAUCUGAGAAAGAGAGAUAGUGGAUUUGAGUUUUAGGCUGGCCAUUUGGCUUUUCCAGCCCAGGUGGAACUCAGAAGAGUUUGCAAUGGGGUCUGGCCACAUUUUAGCAGAACUGGCCACAACUGAGCAGAACUUUUUGAAACUAGGAAGACCCUUUGGUCCACCUUUUGAUGAACAGAAUCCGUACAUGCCUACCCCAUUGGAGGUAGCUCUGCACUGACUGGAAAGUAAAGGGGACCAAGGCGACAGUAAAGGCUCGGAAAGGGAGCAAUCUUGAAAACAUGUCAUCCCGUGGUGGUGGGAAGCCCCUGGAGAAAAGACUAGGGGAAACACAGUCAUAGGCUGCAAGUCCACAAGAGAAUUCCACUGGGGAGGGAGCCCAUUUGUCAUGCAUGACUGCAAGGGGGGAGAUACAAGUGUGGAGUAAGCUUGCAAGAGGCUGAUCCUGGUCCCAGAGAGGGAAAAAUAUGCUUUGGUGGGUAAUGAACCUUUUGUUCCCAGAGGCAGAAAGAUUGGGACUAGGCCUACGUAGAGAUUGGCAAUGGUUGUGAGAUUCAAGGAGGGUGUGUGCGCGUGCGUGCAUGUGUGUGUGCAUCUUGACAAUAUUAGAGGAGGCUGAGCCCAAGCAGGCACAUUCUCGUCAACCCCUCCCUCAUUCAGUCUGCUCUUGAGUCUACUGAACAUCAAGCUUGCUAUGAGCAGGAUCUUAGAGCUGAGGAAUUGGCCUCCGAAUCUGAACAGGUGUAGUAAUCCUUUCUUAAUAGGUUGUGCUGUGGACCCAAUGUGAGGGCUAUGCUGGUGUACAUGGUGACAUAUUGAGCUGGGGGAUGCUCUCAGGGUGGGGGACUGCUUCCAUCCCAACAAAGGCCCUCUUGAGAGUCUAUCCAGGGACCCAUUGUUUUACUUUAACAGACCAGAAAAGAUGUUUGUUUUCCACGUCAUUACUUCCAGGGGAUGCUGAAUGUGUGGGCAGAAGUUUCUCUGUAGAUUAAAAAUCAGAUUUUUACUUGGAUUCAGCAAAGGAGUGUCACCUGGAUUUUUGUUUUCACCCAUGAAUGUAGCUGCUUCUGUGUAAAAUACCAUAAAAUACCAUUUUGUUAUUAAAAAUCAAUUCACACUGGAAA